GACGUAGGGCGCGAGCGUUGUCCGGAUUUAUUGGGCGUAAAGAGCUCGUAGGCGGCUUGUCGCGUCGUUCGUGAAAACCCGGGGCUCAACUCCGGGCUUGCGGGCGAUACGGGCAGGCUAGAGUUCGGUAGGGGAGACUGGAAUUCCUGGUGUAGCGGUGAAAUGCGCAGAUAUCAGGAGGAACACCUAUGGCGAAGGCAGCUCGCUGGGACGGUACUGACGCUGAGACGCGAAAGCGUGGGGAGCGAACAGG
rnacentral:rRNA from 1 species